UCUCAUGGAUAAGCAAAGAAAGUGGUUUCUUAAGAUGGAAUCUACACCUGGUGAAGCUGCUGUGAG
rnacentral:pre_miRNA from 3 species